CCCCCACCCCCCGAAGUAACACCAAUAGCGAGCUUUCUGAAACGGAUGAAAGUCUGAUCCUUACCGAGGCUGUAAGAGAAGCUAGUUUACCAAAAUUUCUCCCUGGAGAUGUCCCACUUUUUGAAAAGAUCAUGGCAGACAUUUGUCCUGGAGCUGCAGUUUCGACAGAAAAUCAAGUUGCCUUGGAGAAAGUAGUAUCUAUUGCAACACAACAGUUGGGUUUCCAUCAGUGGCCAGCUCAGAACGAGAAAACCAUACAGUUUUAUAAUCAACUUCAGACUCGUGUUGGUGUGAUGUUGGUAGGCCCAACAGGUGGAGGAAAGACAACAGUCAGAAGAAUUUUAGAAAGAGCAUUAACACUAUUACCAAUUGAAGACUUCCUAUC